rnacentral:rRNA from 2 species
UAUGUGAUAGGUGGUGCAUGGCCGUUCUUAGUUCGUGGAGUGAUCUGUCUGCUUAAUUGCGUAUCAAUAAUAGAGACCUAGUAUACGCGUGGAUUUCGCGUGGUAGUGACCCCCUGUUUAACGACAGGCGUGUGUCGCACACGCGUACCUACGCACUGGUCUCAGAUAGCAACGAACGUGACCGUAUUCUAUUGUUGCAGUGAAAUGUGCCUUCGGGUACGACCCACUGCUUAGUAUAUGUACGUGCUUCGGCGCGAACAAUAUACAUUAAACUAUAGAGACCGCUGUUUCUUCUUUAAACCAGAGGAAGGAUACGGCAAUAACAGGUCUGUGAUGCCCUCAGAUGUUCCGGGCUGCACACGUGCUACAAUGAUCAUUGCACUGUGCAUCUAACCCAAUGUGCGCGGACGCCGCAUGCAUGUGCCUUCGGGUACACGCAUUGCUGAGCGACCGCGCCGAACCUACUUCGAAAGUAAAAUUUCUCAGUGGGUAAUCCAUUAGAAGUAAUGACUCGCAUAGACCAUGGCACAACUAAAUGUACGCGCAGGUUCUACCCGGCUCGCCUUUGUGUGAGUGCAGUGCGUAGCUUGUUGUUUCGUACGUGCCACUCCGUAUUAAUUCGUACGUGGGGAUAGAUCAU